GUAUUGAUUGGUGCUUGCAUCAUGAUUUACAUUUGAGUGAGUGGCGAACUGGUGAGUAACACGUGGGAAACCUGCCCAGAAGCGGGGGAUAACACCUGGAAACAGAUGCUAAUACCGCAUAACAACUUGGACCGCAUGGUCCGAGUUUGAAAGAUGGCUUCGGCUAUCACUUUUGGAUGGUCCCGCGGCGUAUUAGCUAGAUGGUGGGGUAACGGCUCACCAUGGCAAUGAUACGUAGCCGACCUGAGAGGGUAAUCGGCCACAUUGGGACUGAGACACGGCCCAAACUCCUACGGGAGGCAGCAGUAGGGAAUCUUCCACAAUGGACGAAAGUCUGAUGGAGCAACGCCGCGUGAGUGAAGAAGGGUUUCGGCUCGUAAAACUCUGUUGUUAAAGAAGAACAUAUCUGAGAGUAACUGUUCAGGUAUUGACGGUAUUUAACCAGAAAGCCACGGCUAACUACGUGCCAGCAGCCGCGGUAAUACGUAGGUGGCAAGCGUUGUCCGGAUUUAUUGGGCGUAAAGCGAGCGCAGGCGGUUUUUUAAGUCUGAUGUGAAAGCCUUCGGCUCAACCGAAGAAGUGCAUCGGAAACUGGGAAACUUGAGUGCAGAAGAGGACAGUGGAACUCCAUGUGUAGCGGUGAAAUGCGUAGAUAUAUGGAAGAACACCAGUGGCGAAGGCGGCUGUCUGGUCUGUAACUGACGCUGAGGCUCGAAAGUAUGGGUAGCAAACAGGAUUAGAUACCCUGGUAGUCCAUACCGUAAACGAUGAAUGCUAAGUGUUGGAGGGUUUCCGCCCUUCAGUGCUGCAGCUAACGCAUUAAGCAUUCCGCCUGGGGAGUACGGCCGCAAGGCUGAAACUCAAAGGAAUUGACGGGGGCCCGCACAAGCGGUGGAGCAUGUGGUUUAAUUCGAAGCUACGCGAAGAACCUUACCAGGUCUUGACAUACUAUGCAAAUCUAAGAGAUUAGACGUUCCCUUCGGGGACAUGGAUACAGGUGGUGCAUGGUUGUCGUCAGCUCGUGUCGUGAGAUGUUGGGUUAAGUCCCGCAACGAGCGCAACCCUUAUUAUCAGUUGCCAGCAUUAAGUUGGGCACUCUGGUGAGACUGCCGGUGACAAACCGGAGGAAGGUGGGGAUGACGUCAAAUCAUCAUGCCCCUUAUGACCUGGGCUACACACGUGCUACAAUGGAUGGUACAACGAGUUGCGAACUCGCGAGAGUAAGCUAAUCUCUUAAAGCCAUUCUCAGUUCGGAUUGUAGGCUGCAACUCGCCUACAUGAAGUCGGAAUCGCU
rnacentral:rRNA from 2 species